rnacentral:rRNA from 1 species
UACGUAGGGUGCAAGCGUUGUCCGGAAUUAUUGGGCGUAAAGAGCUCGUAGGCGGUUUGUCGCGUCUGCUGUGAAAACUCGGGGCUUAACUCCGGGCCUGCAGUGGGUACGGGCAGACUAGAGUGCGGUAGGGGAGACUGGAAUUCCUGGUGUAGCGGUGAAAUGCGCAGAUAUCAGGAGGAACACCGGUGGCGAAGGCGCUCUGCUAGGCCGCAACUGACACUGAGGGACGAAAGCUAGGGGAGCGAAUGGG